rnacentral:rRNA from 1 species
UACAGAGGGUGCGAGCGUUGUCCGGAAUCACUGGGCGUAAAGGGCGCGUAGGCGGCUUUUCGCGCGUGCGGUGAAAGCCCGGGGCUUAACUCCGGGUCGGCCGUGCGAACGGGGAAGCUGGAGUCCGGUAGAGGCCGAUGGAAUUCCGGGUGUAGCGGUGGAAUGCGUAGAGAUCCGGAAGAACACCGGUGGCGAAGGCGGUCGGCUGGGCCGGAACUGACGCUGAGGCGCGACAGCGUGGGGAGCAAACAGG